CCCUUAGAUGUUCUGGGCCGCACGCGCGCUACACUGAUGAACGCAACGAGACCACCUGUACCGAAAGGCAUGGGUAAACUUGUGAAAGUUCAUCGUGAUGGGGAUAGAUUAUUGCAAUUAUUAAGCUUCAACGAGGAAUUCCUAGUAAGCGCGAGUCAUCAGCUCGCGUUGAUUACGUCCCUGCCCUUUGUACACACCGCCCGUCGCUCCUACCGAUUGAAUGGUCCGGUGAAAUCUUCGGAUUGCUGGAUAGGACUUCAUUGACCUAUCUGCGAGAAGUUGCUUGAACCUUAUCAUUUAGAGGAAGGAGAANUCGUAACA
rnacentral:rRNA from 1 species